rnacentral:rRNA from 1 species
AUUGAACGCUGGCGGCAUGCUUUACACAUGCAAGUCGAACGGUAACAGGCCGCAAGGUGCUGACGAGUGGCGAACGGGUGAGUAAUGCAUCGGAACGUGCCCAGUCGUGGGGGAUAACGCAGCGAAAGCUGCGCUAAUACCGCAUACGAUCUGUGGAUGAAAGCGGGGGACCGAAAGGCCUCGCGCGAUUGGAGCGGCCGAUGUCAGAUUAGGUAGUUGGUGGGGUAAAGGCCCACCAAGCCAACGAUCUGUAGCUGGUCUGAGAGGACGACCAGCCACACUGGGACUGAGACACGGCCCAGACUCCUACGGGAGGCAGCAGUGAGGAAUAUUGGGCAAUGCCCGCAAGGGUGACCCAGCAACGCCGCGUGGAGGAUGAAGGUCGUAAGAUCGUAAACUCCUGUUAGAGGGGAAGAACAGUACCGAUUGGAUCGGUGUUUGACUGUACCCUCAGAGAAAGCCCCGGCUAACUACGUGCCAGCAGCCGCCGUAACAC